UACGGAGGGGGCUAGCGUUGUUCGGAAUUACUGGGCGUAAAGCGCACGUAGGCGGGUUCUUAAGUCAGGGGUGAAAUCCCGAGGCUCAACCUCGGAACUGCCUUUGAUACUGGGAAUCUUGAGUUCGGGAGAGGUGAGUGGAAUUGCGAGUGUAGAGGUGAAAUUCGUAGAUAUUCGCAAGAACACCAGUGGCGAAGGCGGCUCACUGGCCCGAUACUGACGCUGAGGUGCGAAAGCGUGGGGAGCAAACAGG
rnacentral:rRNA from 1 species